rnacentral:rRNA from 1 species
UUCGACACACUAUCAUUAACUGAAUCCAUAGGUUAAUGAGGCGAACCGGGGGAACUGAAACAUCUAAGUACCCCGAGGAAAAGAAAUCAACCGAGAUUCCCCCAGUAGCGGCGAGCGAACGGGGAGGAGCCCAGAGCCUGAAUCAGUGUGUGUGUUAGUGGAAGCGUCUGGAAAGGCGCGCGAUACAGGGUGACAGCCCCGUACACAAAAAUGCACAUAUUGUGAGCUCGAUGAGUAGGGCGGGACACGUGGUAUCCUGUCUGAAUAUGGGGGGACCAUCCUCCAAGGCUAAAUACUCCUGACUGACCGAUAGUGAACCAGUACCGUGAGGGAAAGGCGAAAAGAACCCCGGCGAGGGGAGUGAAAAAGAACCUGAAACCGUGUACGUACAAGCAGUGGGAGCCUCUUAAUGGGGUGACUGCGUACCUUUUGUAUAAUGGGUCAGCGACUUAUAUUCUGUAGCAAGGUUAACCGAAUAGGGGAGCCGAAGGGAAACCGAGUCUUAACUGGGCGUUAAGUUGCAGGGUAUAGACCCGAAACCCGGUGAUCUAGCCAUGGGCAGGUUGAAGGUUGGGUAACACUAACUGGAGGACCGAACCGACUAAUGUUGAAAAAUUAGCGGAUGACUUGUGGCUGGGGGUGAAAGGCCAAUCAAACCGGGAGAUAGCUGGUUCUCCCCGAAAGCUAUUUAGGUAGCGCCUCGUGAAUUCAUCUCCGGGGGUAGAGCACUGUUUCGGCAAGGGGGUCAUCCCGACUUACCAACCCGAUGCAAACUGCGAAUACCGGAGAAUGUUAUCACGGGAGACACACGGCGGGUGCUAACGUCCGUCGUGAAGAGGGAAACAACCCAGACCGCCAGCUAAGGUCCCAAAGUCAUGGUUAAGUGGGAAACGAUGUGGGAAGGCCCAGACAGCCAGGAUGUUGGCUUAGAAGCAGCCAUCAUUUAAAGAAAGCGUAAUAGCUCACUGGUCGAGUCGGCCUGCGCGGAAGAUGUAACGGGGCUAAACCAUGCACCGAAGCUGCGGCAGCGACACUAUGUGUUGUUGGGUAGGGGAGC